GAGAGCAGUCUGGCUGUGACAUAUGUCACCUCUCUGGCUCUCAGAGUUGGUUUGGCUGAUCCAACUGGCUAGGCAGAUGUCCCCCUCCUUACUGCUCCAGGUAUGUAUCCUCUCACAGUUUUUCUGCGGAAGAGGAUCGUCUUUGGUCAAAGGUUGAGUUACUGUUGCUGUGCUCCCCUGACAGAACCUCCAGUUAAGUUCUCGUGGGCCUGUCUUACCCUGACAUGUCCUGGAGCACCACAGCUUAGAUAUUUCAGAGGACCCUGUUGCUCUUGGCACCAGGUCCUU
ensembl:misc_RNA predicted gene, 24530